rnacentral:rRNA from 1 species
UACAGAGGUCUCAAGCGUUGUUCGGAUUCAUUGGGCGUAAAGGGUGCAUAGGUGGUGGGGUAAGUCGGAUGUGAAAUCCCGGGGCUCAACCCCGGAACUGCAUUCGAUACUGCCUUGCUCGAGUACUGGAGAGGAGACUGGAAUUUACGGUGUAGCAGUGAAAUGCGUAGAUAUCGUAAGGAAGACCAGUGGCGAAGGCGAGUCUCUGGACAGUUACUGACACUGAGGCACGAAGGCCAGGGGAGCAAACGGG